rnacentral:rRNA from 1 species
UACGUAGGGACCAAGCGUUGUUCGGAUUUACUGGGCGUAAAGUGUGCGCAGGCGGCAAAGCAAGUCGAGUGUGAAAGCCCCGGGCUUAACUUGGGAAUUGCGCUCGAAACUACUUUGCUGGAGUGUGGCAGAGGAAGGUGGAAUUCCACGUGUAGCGGUGAAAUGCGUAGAGAUGUGGAGGAACACCAAUGGCGAAGGCAGCCUUCUGGGCCAACACUGACGCUCAUGCACGAAAGCGUGGGGAGCAAACAGG